UUUUUUUUUUUUUUUUUUUUUGAGAGAUAAAUAGCACGCUAUCCGCUUCGUUUAUUUCAUUUAGAAAUAAACUUAGCUAGAAAAUGUGAAUCAACUAGGAUUUGAACUUGGGUCUCGGAUACCAACCACCAAAUCCUUUGCCACUUACUCUAAGGGCUUAAAGGUCUUUGGUUGAUCUCCCAGACUCCCACUCCUCCAUCGAGAUCGAAAUUUCUACUUCUUCUUGUCGGAUCGUUGACGCUGAUCACUAAUACCAAAAAUUCGAGCUAUUAGAAAUACGCAAUAAAUUCACUUAAAACGUACAAAUAUAAUGUCAACAUGUCUCAAUUGUAACUUGAUCCAAUUAAUCUUACACUAUUUCGAAAAUGACUUGGCCCAACCCAACUUUACGUCGUUUUAAACGUAAUUCGACCCACUCGGUCUCCCGCCCCAGGGUAGGUUGCUAACCCAUUUAAGCCAACACUCCUGAAAGAACUACUAUCUAACAUCACAGACUUUUUUUUGGGUACAAUUGCCGGUGAAUUUUGCAAAUUGUUAUUAUUUUUUUUUUUGAGAGAUAGAUAGCACGCUACCCGUUUCGUUUAUUUUUUUUUAGAAACGGCAAAUUAAUUUAGAUACCACAAUUAAUUGUUUUCUCAGUUCAAAUGAAUGAUGAAUUAGUUUGAUAAAUUCUGCCAGAUUGACGUUGGGAAUGAGCUUGUUGUCACGGGAAGAGUUCAGCCCCUGCGCUACUAGAGAAAUUAGCGAACUCGACCAAAAUAAUGCUGGUGAAUACAUACAAUGCAAUGGGUACGAUCUGUGCGGUCAUCACAGGACCAGCUUACAGUUUUGGCCUUAUUUUGGCACUUGCUUUGAUCGAGUCCGCAUAUGUAGCCGAUCGCGUGAGGAGGAACCCGAUUUAAGGGGCAGUCCUAGUCCUAGUGUGGCAUAAUAAAACUAUUGACACCAUUCCAUCGCUUGUCCGGAAAUUGGCCCAUAUAUAGCAGCAGGAUUUAGGACUCCUUAAUUCCCCUUCAAUCAAAAAAAGCUGCACGCGACCACACGACCCAAAAACUGCACUGCAGUAGGAGAGCCGGAGAAUGAGUUGGAGUUGGAGUUGGAGUUGGAGUUGUGGUAGGGACUCCGCAGAAGAAAAAGGUUGGAGAUUCCCCAGGUCACACUGAAAGAGAUCUAUGAGAUGGGUGCGUCCUCUCCCCUCACCCCACUCCCCCCACCACGCACGACGUAGAUUCCCGUUGCCCCUCUUGCUUAAUUAAUUGGGGUGGUAAAAGCUAGAAAUAAUGUUAUGCUAGCCUGAAGAACUGAAUAUAUAUAU
rnacentral:lncRNA from 1 species